CAAGCUUAUUUAGGUUCCCCUAUUUAGUACCAAAUGUGUAUUAAUUCGAAAUAGUGUGACAGAAGGGGAAAUAGGUCUAGUGAUGAUGAAUGAUACAUUUUCACUACAAAUGAGUACUUGAAGGCCUUUUAACUUUCUUCUUCUUCUUUAUGUAAUCAAUUUUUGUUGGCAUAAAUGGUGCUCAAGACCUCACUUCCUCGGCAAAUGCAUAUUGUAACAAGAUCGGGAAAUGGUGGAGGAGAAGGUCGACCAGAUACAAUUCUUCAAAUGCUUGGAUUGAUGUUUAUUAGAUAGAACUGAAAAAAUCAAAUUUUUAUUGAAACUCUAAGUUGACUUUAAAUAAGAUCAAGUGAAAAAUAGCGAUCUAAUUGAAAGCUUAGGCUUAAUGUCAUUGAAAGCCUCAUUAUUGGAGAUUUGGAGACUUUUUUCUACUAUGAAGAUGUUUGCAAUGAAAUUUUCUUUUGAGUUAAAUAUUUUUCUUCCUCUACAUACUAUGUCAUAAUAUAGAGCCAAUUUCCACUCUGAUCUGGUAGUUUGAGCAAAGAGUUUAGAGAUUGAAGUCAGAGUAGUGUACAUAGAACUUUGAGUAGAAAGGAUCAUGAUAUGGUUCACAGGUCUCAGUGGCUCAGGUUUGUCACUAAACCUUUUGUCUUUUGCUUUUACGACUUAAUGGUUUUUGACUUAUUAUGAUUAAAUCAUGGUUUAGACAACCUAUAGUUUAGAUUGUCCUCAAAUGAAACCUACAGUUUGGAUUAUAGACCAAACUCAACAAUGGAACAUUUGAUUUUGGCUGGUUGUAUUAUAGACCUACAGUUUUUGCAACAUAUGCUGAUGGUUAGUUACAUAAUGAAGAACUUAUGGACACUGGUUGUAUUAUGAAUGACAUUGUGUUUUGAACCUGAUUGGGAGACCCUUUGAACUUUUUGUGUGUAUUAUAUGUGGUGUAAAUGAAAGUCAAUGAUUUUGGCUGUUAAUUCCUCCCUUUUCAGGGGACUCUUUCUUUCUCCUAUGAGUCCCCACAGGCUAUGGAACUGCUUACUACUAUGCUUGACAUGUUUGUUUGCAAUAAUGGAGAUGAUAGAAAUCAGAAGUUAUCAGAUUAAAUGGUUUAUUUUGAUAUGACUUGUAGAAUGAUUGAAGUCAUCAGAUUGAAAGCUAAGCGAUUGUGUAGAUAGUCAGGCGAUCGUUGAAGGUUGAAGACUGAGAAGGCGUUUAGGAUUUAUUAUUUGUAUUAGGAUCUUGUUUCAUGUACUAUUGUAAAAUGUAUAUAUAAACACAAUAUUAAGUUUUCAUUUUGUGUAUUUGUAAAAGAUAAAUAUUAUAAUUUCUAAAAUAA